UUACCUACCCUUGACAUGGUCGGAAUCCCGCUGAGAGGUGGGAGUGCUCGAAAGAGAACCGGCGCACAGGUGCUGCAUGGCUGUCGUCAGCUCGUGUCGUGAGAUGUUGGGUUAAGUCCCGCAACGAGCGCAACCCUUGUCCUUAGUUGCUACGCAAGAGCACUCUAAGGAGACUGCCGGUGACAAACCGGAGGAAGGUGGGGAUGACGUCAAGUCCUCAUGGCCCUUAUGGGUAGGGCUUCACACGUCAUACAAUGGUCGGAACAGAGGGUUGCCAACCCGCGAGGGGGAGCUAAUCCCAGAAAACCGAUCGUAGUCCGGAUUGCACUCUGCAACUCGAGUGCAUGAAGCUGGAAUCGCUAGUAAUCGCGGAUCAGCAUGC
rnacentral:rRNA from 1 species